rfam:Papio anubis isolate 1X1155 chromosome 10, whole genome shotgun sequence.
CCAACAUUUGUGGGAGCUGGGGGCUCACACAAUGAAGAUGCCCUCCUGGCCCAGGCAGGAUCCUAAAGCAUCCGUGGCACCCCAGCCUACCUCACCCACCCACAGUGCCUGGAGGUGGAGCACAAGGGCACAUGUUAGGACCUGAAAGAUGGUGAGUUGGAUCUGGCAGAGUGAAGCCAGAGGAAACUCAGGUGGAGGUCUGUAGUGGUCCCGAUAUACAAAUCGGUCAUCUGACCUGGGUACAGGUGCAUGAGGGCAAAAGACUAGAGAAACCACCCAGCAGCUGG